UGUAGGGCCUUGCAGCUUGUUUGUUUUUAGAAGACUUUUCAUAAUAAAACCUCUGCUUCACCUCUGUUUCGCGUAGAUAUGGACUUAAGUCUUCUGGCCACUUCAAAAGUCUUCUCCAAACCCUAAACAGAACAAGAGCAGCCGCAACCCCUCAUCUCCUCCUUCUCCACGUUCGCCAUCGCCUCUGCCACCGUCUCAACCUCUGGCGCCGCCCCCACCACGUCCGACAUCAGCCUCUCCCCACCCUCUCCGCCCCCACCACGUCCGACAAGAGCCCUCUCCACCCUCUCCACCGCUCGUCGUCGCACCCCAGCCCCUAAACGACCACCCCAGCCCCUCCACGACCAUCCCAGCACUUCGACGACCACCUCAGGCCCUGCUCCACCUCUGCCGCCGGCCUGCUUCCCUCCUCCGGCGCCCCCACCACAGCCUUACCGUCACCACCUUCACCAUCUUCAGCCUCCACAUCCGAGACACCUCCACCUUCAGCCUCCACAGCCGAGACACAGAUGCAGGUGCAAUGUAUCUUGACUUAGAUAGUAAGAUUGCUAAUGAAGUUGAGCUGUAGAGGUAUAAUUAGUCAUGGCAUGAGAUGUUAUUUGAAGCGAAAUACACACAAGAAUACAAGAUCAAAUAUCUUUGUUUAUACCGAUCAUCAUCAUCGUCGUCGUCGUCGUCUGUCAUCAUCAUCAUCAUCAUAUCCCACUAAUAACAAAUCUAAGGUAGGGUCUGAGGAGGGUAAUGUAGACAGCCUUAUCUCUACCCCGUAGGAAUAGAGAGGUUGCUUACAAUCAGACUCCCGGCUCGAUUGUAUUUUUGCAUCAAGCCUUGGACAUAAGGCACAUAACACUUAGCAAUUGAGACAAACGCCGAUUAGUGCAUGUACCCCCUUGUUUUUCAGCUAUCAAUGUCAGCACAUGAUGCAUGAUUAACAAUCCCACUCUUUUAACAUUAUUUUCACGAAAUUAGUAAAAUAACGUUAAAAUUAGUGCACUUUCACUUUUACCCCCGA